rnacentral:rRNA from 1 species
ACGUACACUCCUGCGGGAGGCAGCAGUGGGGAAUUUUGGACAAUGGGCGAAAGCCUGAUCCAGCCAUGCCGCGUGCAGGAUGAAGGCCUUCGGGUUGUAAACUGCUUUUGUACGGAACGAAACGGCCUUUUCUAAUAAAGAGGGCUAAUGACGGUACCGUAAGAAUAAGCACCGGCUAACUACGUGCCAGCAGCCGCGGUAAUACGUAGGGUGCAAGCGUUAAUCGGAAUUACUGGGCGUAAAGCGUGCGCAGGCGGUUAUGUAAGACAGUUGUGAAAUCCCCGGGCUCAACCUGGGAACUGCAUCGGUGACUGCAUAGCUAGAGUACGGUAGAGGGGGAUGGAAUUCCGCGUGUAGCAGUGAAAUGCGUAGAUAUGCGGAGGAACACCGAUGGCGAAGGCAAUCCCCUGGACCUGUACUGACGCUCAUGCACGAAAGCGUGGGGAGCAAACAGGAUUAGAUACCCCUGUAGUCCCAUGAU